AGGAUGCCAUGCAUCAUGUUGUUUCAAAAACUGACAAAACAUUCAAAUUAGAUGUGAAGUAUAUCAAUGCAGUGAAAGGACGUGGUCUAUUUGCAAAGGCUGCCUUUUGCAAAGGUGAUUUUGUUGUUGAGUACAGGGGAGAUAUGAUAAAUGAAGCAGAACUUCAGAGGAGAAGAAAACGUUACCACGCAUCCUGUGCUGCAUUUAUGUUUGAUUUCAAGUGGCGAGGGAAAACAUGGUGUAUUGACGCGUCAAGGGAAGAUGGAUCGUAUGGGCGUAUCGCUAAUGAUUGCCACAAUCAUCCAAAUUGUAAGAUGAAAAAAAUUGACGUCAAUGGAAAGCCUCACCUUUGUCUGUUUGCCCUGAAUGACAUUAAAGAAGGAGAAGAAAUUGCCUAUGAUU